rnacentral:tRNA from 1 species
AUUUAUAUAGUUUAUUAAAACAUUUCAUUUUCAAUGAAAAAAUAAUUAUAUUCAUUAAUAAUUUAUAAA